UCAUGUCGCGUCCGCCAUUGCCGCCGUUCACCAGAGAAACCGCCGCGCAGAAGGCGCGGAUGGCGGAGGAUGCCUGGAAUUCGCGCGAUCCGGUGAAGGUCUCGCUCGCCUACACCGAAGACAGCAUCUGNNNNNNNNNGAAUUCUUUCAGGGCCGCGCCGCGAUCGUCGAAUUCCUCACCCGCAAGUGGGCGAAGGAGCACGAAUACCGCCUGAUCAAGGAUCUGUGGGCGUUCGACCAAAAUUUUAUCUCGGUGCGUUUCCAGUACGAAUGGCAUGACGAUGCCGGAAACUGG
rnacentral:misc_RNA from 1 species